GUUCAUGUGUGGGUUUUUACCUGUAGUCCGAUCCUUGCCAAUGGUUCGCCAUUGGUAAAGGCCUUAUGGUACAACUGUAAACAAAUCAGAGUGCUCAAAGCAGGCAUUGUUAAUGGGGAUUUAUCCUCAGUUUUGCUUGAAUGAUUUAGCAUGGGAUUGUCUUGGAGCCGUGAAUAGUGCCCUUUAGCAAUAGAGGAACGCUGUUCACUGGCGCUUGUAAUGUGAAGCAGGGAGAGGGCUCAAGUACUAUGGUGCUAGAGGUGAAAUUUAGAUACCAGCAUAUGACUUUCUGAUGCGAAAGCUGUUAUUGUCCAAUACACUUCUUUCGAUCAGGGACGAAAGUUAGGGGAUCGAAGAUGAUUAGAUACCGUCGUAGUCCUAACUAUGAACGAUACCAACAAGAGAUUGGUAGUGAAACCAUUUAAGAUCCUCUCAGAAUCCGAGGGAAACCUAAAGUCUUUGGGUUCUGGGGGGAGUAUAGUCGCAAGGCCGAAACUUAAAGGAAUUGACGGAAAGGCACCACCAGGAGUGGAGUUUGCGGCUUAAUUCGACCCAACGCGGGAAAACUCACCAGGACAGGACAGAGGUAUGAUUGACAGGUUGAAAGUCUUUUCUUGAUUCUCUGGAUGGUGGUGCAUGGCCGUUCUUAGUUCGUGGAGUGAUUUGUCUUGUUAAUUCAGUUAACGAACGAGACCUUAACCUACUAACUAGGCUAUAGGCUAGCUUUACGGCUAGUCAGUUUCUAUGGAGUGGUUCGUAUGAGCCAUUUCUUGAAACCUAUAAUAUGGAACUUCACUUUCGGGUGUAGUUCCUGCUUCUUAGAGGGACAAUACUUCGUUUAUAUUAGAGUAAGGAAGUUUAAGGCAAUAACAGGUCUGUGAUGCCCUUAGAUGCCCUGGGCAGCACGCGUACUACACUGUUAAUACUAACAAGUCAGUACAAUGUGAAUACUUCGGUGUUCACUGGCCUUCUCCUUAAAGGAGUGGGAAAUCUUUUCAAACAUUAACGUGACAGGGAUAGCUGUUUGGAAUUCCAUCUUGAACGAGGAAUUCCUAGUAAUCGCGAUUCAUUAUAUCGCAUUGAUUACGUCCCUGCCUUUUGUACACACCGCCCGUCGCUCCUACCGAUGGAACAAAAAGGUGAAUUUGACGGACUUGAGCUUUGGCUUGGGGAAGUUAACUGAACCUUUUUGUUUGUAGGAAGGAGAAGUCGUAACAAGGU
rnacentral:rRNA from 1 species